rnacentral:tRNA from 1 species
GCAGAUAUAUCUUAAAGGUAAAGUCGAAGAUUUCCAUUCUUCUUAUAAGGGUUCGAUUCCCUUUAUUUGCU